AGAUAACGUGCAGACUCUGAGAAUGCCCAGGCCAUCUGUCCCUGUCCUGGGCUCACAGACACUUUGACUCCCAGGCUAUCCCAGGUAUGCGACGCUGAUGGGACAAUGGUGGGGUCCCCAGGAUACCUGAUCUGGGUGAGCCGGUGCUCUGGGGUCUGAGCGAGGGGCGACACUCUGCUGGUUUCUGAGCCCACAAAGCCACUGUCUGUCUCGGGGGAUGCCAUCCAGGGCUCCUGAAAGAGGCAGUGUCCCUUUAAGUCAGAGGAAUGUGCCCGAGGCACACUGGGAAAUCCUUCCGAGUCCUGGCCUGGGCCUCACAUUCCAGAGGCUCACAGGCAGGGAGGCUGGCCUGGCUCCCAACAGCCUGGCCCAGGGUGUGAGGGUCCGCAGGCGCUCGGGACCCAGCACGAGCACCAGGCCAACAGCGGGAACUCCACACCCUGAGAGGACCCUGAGCAAAUGCCGCUGCCCUGAGGAGUGGGAGCCAGGGCCCGUGGGAGAGAUAUCGUCGCAGAUUUCCUGAGCCGAGGAAUAGAAAGAGAAGGAGAAAGCAGUCCCACGGCGAGAAUGGCAUUCUCAUGUCCAGGCCUGGGCCGGGAACGCCGUGGUCCUACCUGGCAGCAGACAUGCCCAGGCCCAAUGAACUGGGAAAAUAAAAUUAAUCAAACAUGCACACCUCCUCGCAUUAGACCUCUGCGUCUAAUGCCAGGCAGAAAGAUCACCCACAGAGUGACACAGAUGGCUGACCCUGGAAGAGCAAGAGAGGCACUGAAGACAAAAUAGCCCUAAUAGCCCUGAGACAUUCUCCCUGAUGUGCACGGAAAGCGUGAGACUGAGGAGAGUAACGUCACUUAAUACCACAUCUGUUCUGCCAGAAAUCCCGUCCCAUAGCACCCCAAGUCAUUUCAAGUGCCAUCGAGGGCAUAUCUGAAACUGUAAAGCACUGCCUAGCUCACCGUGACAAUUCCCACCCCUGUGGUGUCUGAGUUGCUCUGGGACCAGUGGGGGAGGCUGGCUGACGUACUCGAGGGGGGGCCUGUGACCCCUCUCAGCCUGCAUCGCCAGGAGCUGCCUGGUGGGGAGCCUGGUGGCCGAUCUUCCUGGAGCUGGAGCCUGCCCGUCGACUUGCAGGGUGUGGCCCUGCCCCUCCCCUUCCUCCUCCUCCAUCCUCAUGGCUUCUGGGAGGGGCUUCACACUGAGGUACCUGCAGAAGAACACAGAAGAGCGUGACCUCUGUCCAGCAGGGCCAGCAGGAUCCAGCCGCGGGGCCGUCACCCUGGCCUCGCUCCUGGUGGGUGCUUACCGCUCUAGGAGGCCGUGGACAUCCUCUUCCACCUGCAGCUCCUUGUGUCUGAGUGGGGCGGGGAGGCCCAGCGGCCUGUCCUCUACCUCAUUGCUGGUAGCGCUCAGAUCCAAGUUCACAUGCAAUGGGUGGGGCUCAAGGCUGCUGGUGUUGAGCUGAGGCCGGAAAGGAAGAGGGGCAGAGAUUCGGCAGAUACCAAAGCACCACUUUUAAGGACCUACCUCAUGCUGGGCUCAUGCGGGGGCUGAAGAGGAGGAAAAAGGUUAGACGCACUAACCCAUCACCGUUUUAUGUGUGUACGAAAGGCAGGGACGGGAUCAUGCCCCCUUCAAUACUGGUUGCUGUUGGUUGAGCCCCUACUAUGUGCCAGGCACUGUACAGACCUCACAGCAAUCCCACCAGCACAUACGGUUAUUACAACCCAUUUUAUGGAUGGGUAACUGAGGCUCAAAGGAUUUGCCUAAAGUCACAAGGAAGUGAGGGGCGGAGCCAAGAUUCAGACCAUGAUUCCCAUUCCAAUAUGGACACCUGGCUUCUCAAAACAACUUCACUGUGGGAGUAGGAGAGCCUCUCAAAGUGAUGCACUUGACAUGACGGAUUGUCUCUCUUGGGACUGUGAUGUGGGCUGGAGAGAAGGCUCCAAGGCCCCUUCCAUGUACUGCCCUUGUCCAGUGUCCUCGUUUCUGUGAAUAGUCCCCAAACCACCCAUGACCAUGCGCUAGAAGCCUGGAGGUCAUCCUUGGCUCCUUUGCUCCCACAUUCACUCCGAGUCCAAUCAAAUGUACCUUCUACACCUCUCUCAAGUCCAUUGCCCUGGCACCUCCCCGCCUCUGACCUACCUGCAAAUCUUCUUGUAUUGUUCCCUGCUAAAAAAAAAACCCAGCAGAGCUUAAGAACGUCCUCUUGAUGUGACACACAAGCCCUACAUCGGGGGCCCCUGCCUGCCUUUCCAGCCUUAUCUCUUAGACAACCAUCUCCCCUCACUGUCGCUACUCUAACCGCAGGGCCUUUGCACAGGCUGUUUUUCCUGCCAGAUGGCUUUUUCUCUUCUGUAGCUGAUAAAUCCUACUCAUCCUCAGAUCUCAGUUAAACAUAACUUCCUCAAGGAAAGUUUCUCUGUCCCUCUAAACUCAGAUCUAUUAUCCUGUUAUCUACUCUCAUAGAAUCCCACAAUUCUCCUUCAGAGCACUGAUCCAAGUGAUAGUUAAGUAACUGUAACUCGUUCAACUAGACAGAAAACUUCAUGAGGGCAGAGGCCACCUAGUUCUUUGUUUUCCACUGAAUUCCCACCAGGGGUCAUGAAUCUUGGCGUAUGGUACAAACUUCACAAAUACAUUGUGAAGAAGUCCAUUAACGGAAAAAAUAAUAAAUGAAGGAAGAGUCCA